rnacentral:rRNA from 1 species
AAUAGAUACCCGGGUAGUCCACGCCGUAAACGAUGAGUGCUAGGUGUCGGGGGGUUCUACCCUCGGUGCCGAAGGUAACCCAUUAAGCACUCCGCCUGGGGAGUACGGCCGCAAGGCUGAAACUCAAAGGAAUUGACGGGGGCUCGCACAAGCGGUGGAGCAUGUGGUUUAAUUCGAAGCAACGCGAAGAACCUUACCAGGGCUUGACAUCCCGCUGACCGCUCCAGAGAUGGAGCUUCCCUUCGGGGCAGCGGUGACAGGUGGUGCAUGGUUGUCGUCAGCUCGUGUCGUGAGAUGUUGGGUUCAGUCCCGCAACGAGCGCAACCCUUAUCGCUAGUUGCCAGCAUUCAGUUGGGCACUCUAGCGAGACAGCCGGUGAAAGCCGGAGGAAGGUGGGGAUGACGUCAAAUCAUCAUGCCCCUUAUGUCCUGGGCUACACACGUGCUACAAUGGCCGGUACAAUGGGUCGCCAACCCGGCGAGGGGGGANCUAAUCCCCGACAAAAACCGGUCUCAGUUCGGAUCGCAGGCUGCAACUCCG